rnacentral:rRNA from 1 species
UACGUAGGGUGCGAGCGUUUGUCCGGAAUUAUUGGGCGUAAAGAGCUUGUAGGCGGUUUGUCGCGUCUGCUGUGAAAAUCCGGGGCUCAACCCCGGACUUGCAGUGGGUACGGGCAGACUAGAGUGUGGUAGGGGAGACUGGAAUUCCUGGUGUAGCGGUGAAAUGCGCAGAUAUCAGGAGGAACACCGUGGCGAAGGCGGCUCUGGGA